rnacentral:rRNA from 1 species
UACGAAGGGGGCUAGCGUUGUUCGGAAUUACUGGGCGUAAAGCGCGCGUAGGCGGACGCUUAAGUCAGGGGUGAAAGGCCGGGGCUCAACCCCGGAACGGCCUCUGAUACUGGGUGUCUGGAGUCCGGAAGAGGUUGGUGGAAUUCCGAGUGUAGAGGUGAAAUUCGUAGAUAUUCGCAAGAACACCAGUGGCGAAGGCGGCCAACUGGUCCGGUACUGACGCUGAGGUGCGAAAGCGUGGGGAGCAAACAGG